CUCUCUCUCUCUCUCUCUCUCUCUCAUCUCACCAACAUUCCUCACUACCAUCGAAUUCUACGAUCAAGUCUCUAGAUCAAGAAAACAACUAAUUU
rnacentral:sRNA from 1 species